rnacentral:rRNA from 1 species
CUUGCUUCUCUUGAGAGCGGCGGACGGGUGAGUAAUGCCUAGGAAUCUGCCUGGUAGUGGGGGAUAACGUUCGGAAACGGACGCUAAUACCGCAUACGUCCUACGGGAGAAAGCAGGGGACCUUCGGGCCUUGCGCUAUCAGAUGAGCCUAGGUCGGAUUAGCUAGUUGGUGGGGUAAUGGCUCACCAAGGCGACGAUCCGUAACUGGUCUGAGAGGAUGAUCAGUCACACUGGAACUGAGACACGGUCCAGACUCCUACGGGAGGCAGCAGUGGGGAAUAUUGGACAAUGGGCGAAAGCCUGAUCCAGCCAUGCCGCGUGUGUGAAGAAGGUCUUCGGAUUGUAAAGCACUUUAAGUUGGGAGGAAGGGUUGUAGAUUAAUACUCUGCAAUUUUGACGUUACCGACAGAAUAAGCACCGGCUAACUCUGUGCCAGCAGCCGCGGUAAUACAGAGGGUGCAAGCGUUAAUCGGAAUUACUGGGCGUAAAGCGCGCGUAGGUGGUUUGUUAAGUUGGAUGUGAAAUCCCCGGGCUCAACCUGGGAACUGCAUUCAAAACUGACUGACUAGAGUAUGGUAGAGGGUGGUGGAAUUUCCUGUGUAGCGGUGAAAUGCGUAGAUAUAGGAAGGAACACCAGUGGCGAAGGCGACCACCUGGACUAAUACUGACACUGAGGUGCGAAAGCGUGGGGAGCAAACAGGAUUAGAUACCCUGGUAGUCCACGCCGUAAACGAUGUCAACUAGCCGUUGGAA